AGCAAACGGCGGCCAUGACACUUUCUCCUCAUCGGAUCAUUGUUUACAUCAAACGGAGUGUUACAGAGGAAGUAUCUUUUAUAAGGUUGAAUGAAAUGGAUUGUAAUCUUAUUGCUACAUCUGUGAAGUUGUAAGAAGAAUGGAAAAGCGAAUUGAAAACAUUAUACAGUUCUAUCUCUGCAGUCAUCUACCUAUGAUGCCCGUUGUAUUGGUUCGGUAUCGGUAACUACCGGUAUGAACCCUUGGACAUACUGGUGCCUCCUGCACUCCCUCCUGCCUCACGUCUGGCCCCUGUCCCUGAUGAUCUACCCCAGGCCCUCUUGUAUUCACCCCAGGCUUCUGAACUUGCCCCAGUGUGGUGAAGACCAGAAGAGGGUGAUGUCCUUCCUGCCUCUCUCUCGCUCUCCCUUAAACACAGCUGGUGAUUCCAGAGAUGUGGUCAUCUCUCAACAAGAAGCAGCAGCAGUGGAUUGACCAGACACUGUUUACCAGGAGCCUCCUACAGAGCUCACAGUUCAUCACUGUCCUUUCCCUGGUGGGGAGAAGACCAGAAGAGGGUGAUGUCCUUCCUGUCUCCAAGGCCUGCUUCAGAAUGUGCUGGGGUGAGUUUUUACAUAAUAAAUGAGCAGCUUAGAAAUGGUAAUUUAAUAUUUUAUUCUCUCAUGAUGUAUCAAUGUCUCAGGAUGCCACUGGGUAAACAUAUCUAACUGAUUAACUUCUCUGUGAUGAUAUGUGGAACAAGGUGUGUCUGAGGUCAACAGAGGACUUGGCCUAGAGUUAGUCCUGUCUGGUAUAAUUAGAGGUCCAGACUGGACAAGGAGGGUUGGAUAAACUCCUCUCUAUGAAGAUGAGUCCUGUCUGGUAUAAUUAGAGGUCAAGACUGGACAAGGAGGGUUGGAUAAACUCCUCUCUAUGAAGAUGAGUCCUGUCUGGUAUAAUUAGUGGUCAAGACUGGACAAGGAGGGUUGGAUAAACUCCUCUAUGUGGAACAGGUGUAACUAUUUAUCAUGUGUAACAAUCAAACCUCCCUAUUGGCUGUGUGUUCCACAUUCUAAAGUAGAACCAUCGUUUUACUUGCUGACAUAUUGUCCAGAAAUGACCUCAUUGGACAGAAAGUGGAACUCCUCCCACACGCAUGUUGAACAAAUAUAAUGUUUCCCUGAAACAAAGUAUUUCUGUAGUUUCAUAAAAUAAGAAAGUAAUUCAUAGUGUCCUUUGUCUGGGGUGAUGUGAGUUUCCUUCAACAAUCAGUCUUCCAGAGAGAUGACACGGGAACCUUGGUGUAAAACUCCUUAGUAAUAAAAUGUCAUUGCAGACAGAAUACCUCAGUAGUCUGCAGUAAAGAUCUGUGUGGUGAAACAGGAGACAACACUCUGUGGUGUGGACAACCGAUGUCAAAUGCAUACGUCAAUCAUACCUUAACAUUGUUGCAUUGGAUUAGAUACAAGGUGUCUAAGAUAAGAAAAGCAUGUCUAGACUGUGGUUUCUCACUCUGCUCUAAGCCAUCAACCACACCUGUGUGGUCUCAGGCGCUUUGGUGCUUUCGGAACAUUUUGGCCUUGAGGCUGCGUGACUAUCAGCAGGUGCAAGCAGUUCUCAGCCUGAGAACUAAAGCAGUACAUCUCCAUUACUUUUACAUCGUUGCUCAUUGCAAGCAUACAAAGGUUAUCACAUAUACAGUAGGGCUCUUCUGGCUCUUACAGACCUGUAACUUCUUCUUUAAGAGGCUCCUCUGUCCUCCACUCGUUACCUGUAUUAAUGGCACCUGUUUGAACUUGUUAUCAGUAUAAAAGACACCUGUCCACAACCUCAAACAGGCACACUCCAAACUCCACGAUGGCCAAGACCAAAGAGCUGUCAAUGGACACCAGAAACAAAAUUGUAGACCUGCACCAGGCUGGGAAGACUGAAUCUGCAAUAGGUAAGCAGCUUGGUUUGAGGAAAUCAACUGUGGGAGCAAUUAUUAGGAAAUGGAAGACAUACAAGACCACUGAUAAUCUCCCUCAAUCUGGGGCUCCACGCAAGAUCUCACCCCGUGGGGUCAAAAUGAUCAAAAUGAUCACAAAAAUCUCAGAACCACACGGGGGGACCUAGUGAAUGACCUGCAGAGAGCUGGGACCAAAGUAACAAAGCCUACCAUCAGUAACACACUACGCCGCCAGGGACUAAAAUCCUGCAGUGCCAGACGUACUGUGAAUCAUGGAGGUGGAAACAUCAUGCUUUGGGGCUGUUUUUCUGCAAAGGGACCAGGACGACUGAUCCGUGUAAAGGAAAGAAUGAAUAUAUAUAUACAGUAAUCAUGGCAUUGGUGUAGCCCCUCCCCCGACCCCCAGGGUAACACCCAACAAUAGUAUUUCAUACAAGCCCAACAUUUUAAGGCAACAUUUGAUGUGAACAAUUAGCAAAUAAACUUCCACACCUUUAGAGGAAGUAGAACUGUGUGACCUGCUUCAGCUGUUUAACAUUUGUAUGUAGGUGAAGAAGUUAAAAAUGUUUUACUUAAGCGAAGCAGUCAUUUUAAAUAUUAUACAUGUAGGUAGGGUAGACUGGGGAACAAAGUAACACCGGGUCAGUUGUAACAGAUAAAUAACUCCAAUUAGAAACCAGGUAGAAAGCUCUUAUUCAAUGUGAUAAUGGUUGGAUAGUUUCUCUAAUAGGGCUGGGCGGUAUACUGUAUUUGACUAUAUACCGGUGUUGAUAAACGGACCGCUUUGGGUUUUUACUUUACCUUCUAUAACGAUAUUUAAAUGUUUGGUUUGUUAAAUGUGAUUCGCUGUGUGUAACGUCCAUUUUUCUAGUUUACUUGAGUCGUCCCUCUCUGCUCUCUCUCUCUCUCUCUGCUCUCU